rnacentral:rRNA from 1 species
GACGAACGCUGGCGGCGUGCUUAACACAUGCAAGUCGAACGGAAAGGCCCUGCUUGCAGGGUACUCGAGUGGCGAACGGGUGAGUAACACGUGGGUGAUCUGCCCUGCACUUCGGGAUAAGCCUGGGAAACUGGGUCUAAUACCGGAUAGGAGCCAUUUUUAGUGUGAUGGUUGGAAAGUUUUUUUCGGUGUAGGAUGAGCUCGCGGCCUAUCAGCUUGUUGGUGGGGUAAUGGCCUACCAAGGCGGCGACGGGUAGCCGGCCUGAGAGGGUGGACGGCCACAUUGGGACUGAGAUACGGCCCAGACUCCUACGGGAGGCAGCAGUGGGGAAUAUUGCACAAGGGGCGCAAGCCUGAUGCAGCGACGCCGCGUGGGGGAUGACGGCCUUCGGGUUGUAAACUCCUUUCGCUAGGGACGAAGCUUUUUGUGACGGCACCUAGAUAAGAAGCACCGGCUAACUACGUG